UACGGGGGGGGCGAAGCGUUGUUCGGAAUUACUGGGCGUAAAGGGCUCGUAGGCGGCCAACUAAGUCAGACGUGAAAUCCCUCGGCUUAACCGGGGAACUGCGUCUGAUACUGGAUGGCUUGAGUUUGGGAGAGGGAUGCGGAAUUCCAGGUGUAGCGGUGAAAUGCGUAGAUAUCUGGAGGAACACCAGUGGCGAAAGCGGCUUCCUGGUCCAGCACCGACGUUCAGGCACGAAAGCGUGGGGAGCAAACAGG
rnacentral:rRNA from 1 species